GAAAGAAUUGGCAGACAAAAUACAUGCUGGUGACUCAGUGUGAGGUGUUCUCUCCUCCUUGGGGGGACGAAGCGGGAGCAGAGAACACUGAAGCCAGAGGCACUGACUUAAAAUGGAGCAUCUGAUCCUUAAAGAUCCCCUGGUAUUUGUUGUCAGAGAUGUCAGCUGGAUUUCAGUUCAGAUAAUUACAUUUUGCUUGUCUAAUGCCCCUAGCAAUUUCCAGUGGGAUCUUCAUUUCCCAUCAGAAAUUGCUCUGCAUGUGAUGCUGUGCUUCAUUAAACAACUGCCGUGUGCUAGCUCACAGGUGGUGUUUGUUUCAGUGGUCACUGAAGUAAUCUCUCCGCAGGCCCAUGCCAGCCAUACUGCCCAGACUUGAAUUCUCUCCAGAGAAGUUUCUCAUCCAAGAUCCCCAGUAAAGAAAGGACUACUGAAGGAAAAAGGAAAGAAAAUAGAGCUUCUUUCAUCUUUAUUCUGGGGUUUUCUGCAAUUUUUUUAAAGAGAAAGGUAAGCUACAUAAAAAGGAGUUUGCUUGGUGAGCAAUGGUGGAGUGAGGCUCAUGAUUUGAGUAUUUCAAGAUGUCAACUAAGGGCACCUCAACCAAAUGCACCUCAUGCCCACUGACUCAACAGGUCGAGACCUUAAGGAAAUGCGGCAUUCCAUUGCAUAAUGCUUCAAUAUGAGUUAACAAGACAAAUGAGCAGAGAAACUAUGACUCUCCAUGCUGCAGAAGGAAAAUGCUCCUAGCGAACAUCUGCUUUGGGUAAAGUAAUUUAAUUGCAAAGAUCACGGUGGUAUGUUGAGAUUUAUUUCAAGGGAAGAGCAAGGAAGCAAAAGAGGGCAGUGGGAACCCUUGACACCCUCCUUCCUUAUGGAAUUUUAUCAUCAGCGGUGAAGGGGCCAAGAAAAAUCUGUCUUCUUUGCUUUCCUUUGUAUCAAUUUCCUCUUCUGAAAUAAGGAAGUCUAAACAAAAUAGUCUGGACUUUGAAAUAUUUUAUAUAUGUAUGAAAUAUUUUAUGUAUAUCUUUUUCUGUACACACAUGUGCAAAACAUACACACACACACAUACACACACACACACACACAUAGUCUAGCCCUUGCCAUAUUUAGAUGUGUUCUCUGGACAGUAAAAUCCACCUUAGCUUAUAGAGGCUGCUAAUUUUCCUGAGAUUUCCAAGCCUAUUUAAAUCUAUACAACGAGCGAAUGUCAUUAAAUGAAUCUGUAGGCUCAGGAUAAGUGGUUCACCUAUAUACCUCCAAGACCAACAAUGAAAAGCAUUCUAACCAAGGCUUAUGUUGAGGCAAUGCUCAUUUAGGAAGUAACAUGGACUAGACUGUGAUUUAUGGAGAAAUGGUGGCAUAGAUACAUGUAGACAGAUAGGUAAGUUGAUUGACUGCAGCAGAAAUCUGCUGUUGUACAAUCUGUUCAGAUACUUGGCAUCAUUAGAACAUUUAUGGAAUAAUGUCUAUUGUGUAAGUCAUUACCAUAAUUUUUUAGAGAUAGUGGUUGAGAUAGUAAAUAUUCAGAAUUUAGGGCAUUCAUCGGAUCUACUAAGACGGACAGGCAGGGAGCACACAGUGGUGUUAUAGAUGUCAGUAGGUUCCUAGGGUGCCCAGGUUAGGUCUUCUCUUUCUCUUCAACAAUUCCAGUUGCCUUUCAGAUACAUACACGAACUAAGAACAACCCUUUCCACUUAGAGAAGUGGAAGGAAGCAAGGAGAGUCUUAUGAUACCAUUUUGAAUGAAAUAAAAAACGUGGACUCCAUGACAAGUCAAGCAGAUUCAAAACAUGCAAAUGAAUAGAUUGAAGUAGAUGCUAAGUGACAUCUCCCAAAACAUACUUCAAGGCUGACCAGUGAGUUGUGAGGCUCAUCCGUGGAGGCUCAAAAUGGAUCUUAACAUGCAAGUCCUUUCCUUCAUUCCUACAUGUGGGUGGUCUGAAUGUUCUUGGACCACUUCUAUGUUCUUGUAUCAUUGGAGGUCACUCAAUAAAACUGAAGUGCAUUGUUGAUAGUUGCUAACAUUUGGUAUGCAUAAACUAAAAUUAGCAUGAUACUUAAGUUUGCUAAAGACUUUAAUUCCAUAAUCCUAAUAGAUUUCCAGUGAUUGAACAAUAUUAUACAUCUCCUCUUGUACAGGAGCUAAUGAAUGGUAAAAGUAAAGACCAGAAGCAUUUCUCACACUAGCACAGUGCUCUUAAUAGUCCAUUCAGCUAAAUAAUAGGUUGGAUCACAAAAAAAGAGACUUUUACAUACCUUCAUAGUCCAGAAUAGGAGGUCAAAUCUAAGAAGAGGAAACUUGCAUAGGAGUAGAAAUUGUACACUUUUAGACUUCAUUUUGAAAUGCCAGAUGCAAAGUACAGGAUUAGAGAGUCUUUGCUUUAUAUAUAUUCGUGAUAAACAACAUCACAUUUCAGUAAGAACGUUGAUGAACUUGACUUUGUGCAGGGAAGGAUGAAUGGUCUGGGAAACAUACAGUUGAAAGAACUGAAUAUGGAGAAAGGAUUUAGAGUAAGUAGUUGUCAGAUGGAAAACUGAUUCAUUAUUCUGUAGGGUUCUGUGGCUUCAUUUGUGAAAAUACAGAAAAGAGAUGUGUUAGACAAUUCCAUAAAAGGGGAUGCUUUCUUCUGCAUCUCAGUUUCCUACUCUGAAAGAGGAUAAUUUUAUUAAUCCUUGGGCCAGAAACAAUGAGGGAACAUCUACUUAGCAUCUAAAAUCUUUAUAACAUGUAGGGAAUGAUGUGCUUUUCCCAGUUCCCCUGUUUGAAUGAGGGACUAGUUUUCCUAAUUACUGGAAGUGCUUGCCGACUGACAGCUCUCAGGUAUCACAAGGCUGUGGAGUGGUACAUCCAGAAUCAGACACACAUAAGGCUGGGACACACAAAUAAGCUGCAGGUAGUCCAGAUAUUAGAAACCCCCUGAUACCUAUCAUUGAUGCCCCAGUGCCUCUUUCUCCACUUAUUCCUGUUAUAAUAUCAAGGACACUCACUUUAUAGCGAAGGAAAUGAAGCAGUGGGCAGAGGUCCAUGGAAUCUAGGGCUAGUGUCCCAUAUCACAGCCCCAGAAGCUGCAGGGCUGACCAACCUAAUCAUUUAGGAUGCUGCGUACUCUCUAAAUUGAUAGCUUUAUGAUGUUGUGCCCCUAGUGGGAUAGAAUGAAUGGGCUUGAGAACCAACAUUCUUUCGUCCUCUUGGAGAAAGUUUGCUUCCCUUCCCCAAAUCUCUGGGGUUCUGUGCAUUUAAAUGUCUUGGUUCCCAAAAAGGGAGUGUUUCUAGCACGUGGCCCAGUAUGCAUCCCACUGAACCUAAAGCUACACUGCUACCUACACACUUCAGAAUCCUCAGGCCAAGGUGCCAGCAGGCAAGAUGAAGAGUUACCAUCAUGGCAGACAUAACUGACCAUGAUCAUCAGAGGGAGGCACAGGUGAUGACAUACAACAGGGGCAGGGAGGAAUGUGCUUGGCAAGCAGGUGAUCCAUUUGGGCAUCCCUUGCCCAAUUUUGAUGGCAAAUGGAUGUGUGCUGCCACCUGAGAAGAACAUGAUGACAAGAGGUUCACAUAACUCAGGGAUGAAAGUCUAGGUCAUGCCGGCCGGGCUCGGUGGCUCACGCCUGUAAUCCCAGCACUUUGGGAGGCCGAGGCGGGAGGAUCACGAGGUCAGGAGAUCAAGACCAUCCCGGCUAACACGGUGAAACCCCGUUUCUACUAAAAAUACUAAAAAUUAGCUGGGCUUGGUGGGGGGCGCCUAUAGUUCCAGCUACUCAGGAGGCUGAGGCAAGAGAAUGGCGUGAACCCGGGAGGCAGAACUUGCAGUGAGCUGAGAUCGUGCCACUGCACUCCAGCCUGGGCGACAGAGCAAGACUCCAUCUAAUAAAAAAAAAAAAAAAAAAAAAAAGUCUAGGUCAUGCCACCAGGUAAACUGCACAGAACAGCAGAAGUGAGAGUUGAGGGUGAGCAGUGUCUGGAAUGGACUGAAGAAGACAAUGAGUAUUGUUGGUGGCCUUGAGACCAGUAAUGUGGGCUAUAGUUUGUCCCAUCCUUUUCCUUUUAUCAGUUUUCCUCAGGAAAAGAGUUCCAUCAGAAUCAUGGAGGAACUGCUCUCAGAACUUCAAUCCCUCCUUAGGCUCCAAUGCCACCUGCUAUUCAAGUCACUAACAUCUUUCACCUGAAACAGUGUCUUGUCUCAUAGGCCGGCCAUUAUCCACCACAUCACAGCUAGAGGGAACUGUCAGCAACAGAAGUCAGAUCAUGUUAUUUUUCUGCUAAAAACACCCCCAAUGGUUUUCCAACGCCCUUAAAAUCAACUUGAACUUCAUGGCCCCAGGCUGCUCCACAGACCUCGUCUCCUACCGCUCUCCCUCAUGCCCACGUGGGCCAGCCAUAUUGGCUUCACUCUCAUGAGUAUGCCAAACUCCUUUCAUAUCAGGAGCUUUCUCUACCCUUCUGUGUCUGGGAUGCACUUUCUCCUGAUCUUCACACGGCUGGUGGUGUCACUUCCUUUAUGUCUCUGCCCAGAUGUCACUUCCUCAGAGGGGUCUUUCUAGACACUAUAUCUAAAAUACCCUAUGUCAUCUACAACCUAACUGAUUAGUUGGCUUUAUUUUUUUCAUUGUACACGUAACAAUUUCUAAUGAGAUUGUUAUUUUAUUAUUAAAAUGUGAUUUAGGUAUUAAAUAUUAUUUAGGUAUUACUGUGAGAAUCCCUCAUUUAGUGUAAGCUACAUGUUUAUCUUUAUAUCUCUAGCACCAAGAAUAAUGCCUGCCAUGUGCUAAUUCCUCAGUAAUUAUUUAUUGAAUUAAUGAAUGAUGCAUAUAUAAUGUUUAUUAAAGAUUAACCAAUGAGUGCCUUCAGUGAAUUUGUUGCCAUCAUUUGCAGUGGAUUUUGUUGCUUUUCCUUUUAAAGAAUAAGCCCAAACUACAGACCACUCUUAAGAAUAUUAUGAAUGAAAAAUCUGUAUAUCUAUCAUAUUUUUUAAAACUAUGGUUAUUACAUGACUAGGGUAUAUAGUAUAUUACCCUGAAAAAAAUUCCACUCUCCAGCUUACUUUGGUAAGAGUAUUUAAUUUGCCUGAGCCAGAUUUUAGUUACAAACUUCCAAAUGAGUCAUUGUUUCUUUGGGAACAUUUAUCCUACCUGUUUCCACCACUUCCUCUGGGGAGGUUAAUCUAAAUUCUGAUAAUACCAAGAAAGGCAGAACUUAAGUUUUGUUCUUAUUAUUAACAAGUUUAAAUGACUACUUUUGAACUUUUCCUUUUAUUUGAAACACAUAAUUGUGACUUUCUAAAUUGAAGUCAGCCAUUAAUAUAUAAUUCAGAGCCUACUGGAUGACUUUUCUUUGUGGAUACUGACGUCAUUGUUCUCUUUCUCAAUGGUACAAACAAAAACACUUCAGAAAGUAAACCCUUGUCUAUUGUUACAGUAAGGUGCAUAAGUAUUCAAGCCUAAUUUUUCAAGGUAACCUUUUAGGUAAUUACAGACACUGUCCUGCCAUUUUAUGGAGGGGAACUUAUUGAUUUAUAUUUUUUUAAAAAACAAAAGGAUUUGAUGAAAUGUUCAGUUAGCCAACCUGACAACUCUUUUAUUUUUGUUUUGUAAGAGUCAAGCUUGACUUCUUACAAAAUUACAAUUUAGAUGUUAAAUGACAUCUCUUAGGAACAUUCAGAAAUAGAGAUAAUUAGAAAAAUAAAUUUGGAAAUUAGCUUGCAGGGCCCUUGGUUAGGGAUCUUUGGGCAUAGUGAGCCAUCUCUUUAAAGAAAAAUGAGGUACUAUCUUUAAGAGAACUGAAGUUACCUGGACCAAAUCACAGCAUGGCUUAUCUGCUUCCUCCCUCCCUCAAAGGUAAAAUCCUCUCUGAGACACAGAAGUAUCUGGUUAAAUUUUAUCUCAAGAUAGCCUACUUGGGACAACAUGCAUUUACCUGCUGUGGUAGACAGAAUAAUGCUUCCUGGAAGAUGUCCAUGUCCUUCUUCCUAGAACCUGUGAAUAUGUUAACUUAUAUGGCAACAGGCAUUCUGCAGAUGUGAUUAACAACCUUAAGAUGGAGAAGCUAUCCUGGGUUAUCCAAGCAGGCCCAAUGUAAUCACAAGGGUCCUGGUAGGAGGUCAGAAGAGUCAGUGAUGUGACAAUAGACACAGGUCAGAGUUAUGUGGCCAUGAGCCAAGGAGUGUCGGCUGCCUCUAGAAGCUGGAAAAGGCAAGGAACAGACUCUCUCUUGAAGCUUCCAGAAGAAACUGGCUGUGCAAAUACUCCAUAGGACUCAUUUUGGCCUUCUUAUCUCCAGAGCUGGUAAGAGAAUGAAUUUGUUGUUAAAGCCACAAGGAUUGUGAUGAUUCAUUACAACAGCAAUAGAAAAUGAAUACACCUACAUUACCUUGACCACAAUUUUGGGUGAAGACACUAGUUAAAUAUUUGCCUGAAGCUCACUCUGUACAUUUGGGCAUAAGAAAAGCUCUUCAGACUGUGGUUUUGAGGCAAAGUGACACAAGGGAGUACAGAUCCUCUUCAGCAUGACCAAGGACAGAACCCAGAGGGCUAACAAAGAAGCACCAUGGAGUUGGUACACAGACCUCUGAGAACGGAUCCUAAAUGGCUAUCGCUGCUACCUGGCAUCUCACCAGAGAACUGGUUCUGGAAGCUCUCAAGGAAGGUUGAAGCUUUUAACUGCUACUGACCAAUACAGGAAAAACAGAAAUGUAUGGAGUCUCACUAUGUCACCCAGGCUGGAGUGCAGUGGCGUGAUCUCGGCUCACUGAAACCUCCACCGCCCAGGUUCAAGCAAUCCUCCUGUCUCAGCCUCCUGAGUAGCUGCAACUACAGGCACCUGCCACCAUGCCUGGCUAAUUUUUGUAUUUUUAGUAGAGACAGGGUUUCUCCAUGUUGGCCAGGCUGGUCUCAAACUCCUGACCUCAGGUGAUCCACCCACCUCGGCCUCCUAAAGUGCUGGGAUUUCAGGCGUGAGCCACUGCCUUCAGCUGGAAAUAGCAUUUACUUUAGAGUGUGAUUGUAAAGAUUAGUGUGAUAAUAUGUACAGAACAUCUUAUAUUCAUGGAGGGCACACAUUUGUUCAAUGAAUUGUACUGAUGAGAUCACAAAUCACAUUUCCUCACCCUUCAACCACUGCGCAUCCAAUAUCAUU
rnacentral:lncRNA from 10 species